AUGCGGGUACUCACUUAUGGCAUACCCACGGAUUAUGUUGGUACCCGUGUGCAACCUGAAAGAAACCCUUCUCGCAUACACGCUUUUCUUCAAGCACAUCGUCAGAUUGAGGAUGCAACCACUCAUGGUCGGCUCUGGGAUGAUCUAGUAGAGCACCACUGGCAGUUGGAUGGGCGGCGCAUUGGCCCAUGA
rnacentral:rRNA from 1 species